AAGUCGUAACAAGGUCUCCGUUGGUGAACCAGCGGAGGGAUCAUUACCGAGUUUACAACUCCCAAACCCCUGUGAACAUACCUAUAACGUUGCCUCGGCGGUGCCCGCUCCCCGUAAAACGGGACGGCCCGCCAGAGGACCCACAAACCCUGUUUCCAAAGUAUCUUCUGAGUAAACAUAAGUAAAUAAUCAAAACUUUCAACAACGGAUCUCUUGGUUCUG
rnacentral:misc_RNA from 1 species